UACGGAGGGAGCUAGCGUUGUUCGGAAUUACUGGGCGUAAAGCGCACGUAGGCGGCUUUUUAAGUCAGGGGUGAAAUCCCGGGGCUCAGCCCCGGAACUGCCUUUGAAACUGGGAAGCUAGAAUCCUGGAGAGGCGAGUGGAAUUCCGAGUGUAGAGGUGAGAUUCGUAGAUAUUCGGAAGAACACCAGUGGCGAAGGCGACUCGCUGGACAGGUAUUGACGCUGAGGCGCGAAAGCGUGGGGAGCAAACAGG
rnacentral:rRNA from 1 species